rnacentral:rRNA from 1 species
UGCCUGAAUAACUACUGGAAACGGUAGCUAAUACCGCAUAACGUCGCAAGACCAAAGAGGGGGACCUUCGGGCCUCUUGCCAUCGGAUGUGCCCAGAUGGGAUUAGCUUGUUGGUGGGGUAACGGCUCACCAAGGCGACGAUCCCUAGCUGGUCUGAGAGGAUGACCAGCCACACUGGAACUGAGACACGGUCCAGACUCCUACGGGAGGCAGCAGUGGGGAAUAUUGCACAAUGGGCGCAAGCCUGAUGCAGCCAUGCCGCGUGUAUGAAGAAGGCCUUCGGGUUGUAAAGUACUUUCAGCGGGGAGGAAGGGAGUAAAGUUAAUACCUUUACUCAUUGACGUUACCCGCAGAAGAAGCACCGGCUAACUCCGUGCCAGCAGCCGCGGUAAUACGGAGGGUGCAGGCGUUAAUCGGAAUUACUGGGCGUAAAGCGCACGCAGGCGGUUUGUUAAGUCAGAUGUGAAAUCCCCGGGCUCAACCUGGGAACUGCAUCUGAUACUGGCAAGCUUGAGUCUCGUAGAGGGGGGUAGAAUUCCAGGUGUAGCGGUGAAAUGCGUAGAGAUCUGGAGGAAUACCGGUGGCGAAGGCGGCCCCCUGGACGAAGACUGACGCUCAGGUGCGAAAGCGUGGGGAGCAAACAGGAUUAGAUACCCUGGUAGUCCACGCCGUAAACGAUGUCGACUUGGAG